CUGUGUGGCACUUCCUGGUCUAAAGCUCUGCUAGACAAUUGCGGUUGGGUGCAGUGUCUCAUGCCUGUAAUCCCAGCACUUUGGAAGGCCAAGGCAGGAGGAUUGCUUGAGGCCAGGAAUUCAAGACCAGCCUGGGAAACAAACAUUUUCUUUGGAGCAUUUUCUUCUUUGGAGGAUUAUACCUUGCUCAUCUUGGCACAAAAGAAGGCGAAAGGAAGUAACAUGGGAUUGGGAAAAGAGCAAGGAGAUAAAGUUUGAGGAAAAAAAAUCACCAUGUUGAUGUCUUCUUGAGUAGGCCAAGUUGCGUAUAAAGAGAAAAUGACAACAGGAGAUUUUAAGGUAUGAUAUAUUGUUAAGAGUAGUACAUAUUUAAGAAGAG
rnacentral:lncRNA from 1 species